rnacentral:misc_RNA from 1 species
GAUGAAGAACGCAGUGAAAUGCGAUAAGUAAUGUGAAUUGCAGAAUCUCGUGAAUCAUUGAAUCUUUGAACGCACAUUGCGCCCUAUGGUAUUCCGUAGGGCAUGCCUGUCUGAGCGUUAGCUCACACCCCUCAAACUACUUUAUUGUUGGUUUGGAUGACUUUGGGAAAGCAUUAUAAAAAAAAAAAAAUUUUUUUUUCUUAUGCCUCUCAGAAAUCUAUAGGCGGUACGGUUCCAACAAAACCAGAACGUAGUAAUUAAUUUUUAUAUCGUUCGUUUAUAUUUUGGAGGAGCUGUUGGCUUGCCUUUUGAACCCACAUAUUUAUUCUUAGGAAUAACCUCAGAUCAGGUAGGGAUACCCGCUGAACUUAAGCAUAUCAAUAAGCGGAGGA